GGCUGCAGUGGGGAAUAUUGGACAAUGGGCGCAAGCCUGAUCCAGCCAUGCCGCGUGAGUGAUGAAGGCCUUAGGGUUGUAAAGCUCUUUCACCGGUGAAGAUAAUGACGGUAACCGGAGAAGAAGCCCCGGCUAACUUCGUGCCAGCAGCCGCGGUAAUACGAAGGGGGCUAGCGUUGUUCGGAUUUACUGGGCGUAAAGCGCACGUAGGCGGACUUUUAAGUCAGGGGUGAAAUCCCGGGGCUCAACCCCGGAACUGCCUUUGAUACUGGAAGUCUUGAGUAUGGAAGAGGUAAGUGGAAUUGCGAGUGUAGAGGUGAAAUUCGUAGAUAUUCGCAGGAACACCAGUGGCGAAGGCGGC
rnacentral:rRNA from 1 species